rnacentral:rRNA from 1 species
CGCGUAGGCGGUGCGGUAAGUCACCUGUGAAACCUCCGGGCUCAACUCGGAGCCUGCAGGCGAAACUGCCGUGCUGGAGUGUGGGAGGGGUGCGUGGAAUUCCCGGUGUAGCAGUGAAAUGCGUAGAGAUCGGGAGGAACACCUGUGGCGAAAGCGGCGCACUGGACCACAACUGACGCUGAGGCGCGAAAGCUAGGGGAGCAAACAGGAUUAGAUACCCUGGUAGUCCUAGCCCUAAACGAUGGAUGCUUGGUGUAGCGGGUACCCAAUCCCGCUGUGCCGCAGCUAACGCGAUAAGCAUCCCGCCUGGGGAGUACGGUCGCAAGGCUGAA